AUAAGGCUUAAUAAAACUAAUAACAGCACCAUGGGCUCAGUCGGGGUUCAAAAUGAUAUUAAAAUAUUAUUUUAUAUUGUGAACUCAAUUAUUGGGUUAGUCCCCGGAUUUCUCACAUUCUCUUACGGCGUGGCGUUUGGGGUCUACUUCGGGAUGCAGUUCGGGCAGUUCCCCUUAGUUCUCAUAGUGACUGGCAUCGUAGUGCUUGGUGCCACCGCGCUCGGUUACUUCGGGGCCAUCAAGGAACACAAGAUAACGCUUUACAUUUACUCCGGUCUACUGGCACUGGCAGCGGUGGAGACCUCGUGACGUACGUGGUGAUGGAGCCUACGAACCCCAGACGGGACCCUACACUGCUGGCUACGCCGCUCGUGCAUCUUGGCCUAUCGUUACUGGCACUAGGACUGGCUGUUACCCUCGCGAGACAAGCUCGCAAAAACGUCAACUUCGAGUA